rnacentral:hammerhead_ribozyme from 1 species
AUUCGGCUGACAAGUCCCGAACAGGAUGAAACGCACGUCCUAAAU